rnacentral:lncRNA from 1 species
AGGCCAUCAAACACAGUUCUCCGUCUCUACAUCCCCUUCCUCCAGUCCAGGUAUUUCACAGUGACAUUGCACGAUCUCUCUUGAUACUAUUAUUUUACAAAGAGUUGUGGUUGGAUGGAUAAUGGAAAAUACUGUGUACGCAAUUAUCAGUGUCCUGAUUUGUAUAUUUCUUUUUCCCUUCAUCCAAAUUGUUGCUUUGGCAUUAGAUUUUGAGAAUAAGUACCUGAAUGCUUAAGUAACUCUAGAGUGAUUGUUUGAUGGCAGAAUAUAACAUUUAGUUAGUCGUACCCAUUCUUAAUAAGUUGGGUGGCACUUCCCUGUAAAAAUUGUUAAUCAGCAACCAAACCUACCCAUUCUAAAUGCCAUAGACCAUAUUCAGAGAGAGAGAGAGAGAGAGUGAGGUGCACAGAUAACAAUAGUUAGUGCAUGCUUUUACAAUCCAAAGCUAAAAUAUACAUCUUUUUGCUUCCUUGCUGACAUGAAGCAAAAGUGUGAAUCUCUAACAAAUCUUCAAACAAGCAAGCAUAGAAACACAUUUAAAAAUUAUCAAUUCUGACCCAAGCAGGGGCGGGGGUGCCGAUGCAAGCGACGAACUCGAUCCCGCUCUCCUUCGGCUGGGGCGGGCCACCUAUGGAUGAUGGGCAUGUCCACUAAACCAUUGACUCUGCUUCAUGUCCUCCUCGCCGUCGACUGUGCUUUGGAAGUUUGGAUGGGGUGGGGGUGGCGUCUGCAUGGUAGUGGCAAGGAGGUGGCAGGCUGUCAGUGCUGGCAUAUCAGGGCGACCUCCUGGGGCAGCCCGGUGCAGCCGUGCAGGGGCAUGGCGGGACGACGUUACGGUGGGCUAGCAACCUCUAUUGGGUAGCGGCAGUGUCAGCGGUGGGUAGCGGCGGUGUCAGACGAUAACAUCCCAGUCUUUUUAGGUGUAGAGAUUUAAAGGUGCAAAUUAGUGGCAAUUUGUAUGCAUAGGUUUCAACUCCUGGCAACUUUGUUUAGUCAAAGAGAAUCACCGUUUCAUGUCUCUCUUCAAUUUUCCUGUCUACGCUCUUACUUCUCACUCUUUUAGUACAAUUCUGACUGGGCAUUACCUGCAUGAGUGACUAGGCAGAAACUCUGAAACAUAGUGAAACUUUCAGUAGUCGCAUGGUAGGUCAUGAUAUUUUUCUGCUAAUUAGUUCCUCACUAUUCUGUACUUUUGUUCAGAUAUUGGAUCGUGGUGGGAAGAUUGAACUUUUGGUGGGUAAGACAGAGACCUUACAGUCGCAGGUAUUUAUUCAGUGUCCGUUGUCUGUAUGAUGAUAUGAUGAUGUAUUGAAAUCCUGUUAUAGAAACAACAUUCAACUUUGUCUCAGAAAUUUAUACAAAUGUGGCUCUUUAGAAAUCCUGUUAUAAAAUCAG